rfam:Chaetomium thermophilum var. thermophilum DSM 1495 unplaced genomic scaffold scf7180000011823, whole genome shotgun sequence.
ACCCGAGUGGCGCAAUGGUAGCGUAUGAGACUUCUAAUCUCAGGGUUGUGGGUUCGAGUCCCACCUUGGGUG